rnacentral:rRNA from 1 species
AUUGAACGCUGGCAGCAUGCCUAACACAUGCAAGUCGAACGCUGCUUGAGGGGUAACUCUUGAGCGGAGUGGCGGACGGGUGGGUAAUACGUAGGAAUCUACCCUAGAGUGGGGGAUAACCUGUCGAAAGACGGGCUAAUACCGCAUAAUCUCUAAGGAGCAAAGGUGGCUAGUAAUAGCUUUCGCUUUAGGAUGAGCCUACGUCGGAUUAGUUAGUUGGUAGGGUAAUGGCCUACCAAGGCGACAAUCCGUAGCUGGUCUGAGAGGACGAUCAGCCAAACUGGAACUGAGACACGGUCCAGACUCCUACGGGAGGCAGGAGUGGGGAAUAUUGGACAAUGGGGGAAACCCUGAUCCAGCGAUGCCGCGUGUGCGAUGAAGGCCUGCGGGUUGUAAAGCACUUUCGGUGGGGAAGAAAUUCUCAAAGAUAUACAUUUGAGAGCUGACGUUACCCACAGAAGAAGCACCGGCAAACUCUGUGCCAGCAGCCGCCGUAA